UAUCCAUGGUGGGGACAUUGAUUGAGAAAAUCUUUGAACCUUUCCCAUGAUUGGUAAAGAGUUUCGUGUUAUUUUUUUAGUAAAGGUAGAUAUUUUUCUUAUAAGGUC